rnacentral:rRNA from 1 species
AUUGAACGCUGGCGGCAUGCCUAACACAUGCAAGUCGAACGGCAGCACGGGAGCUUGCUCCUGGUGGCGAGUGGCGGACGGGUGAGUAAUGCAUAGGAAUCUGCCCAGUAGCGGGGGACAACUUGGGGAAACUCAAGCUAAUACCGCAUGCGCCCUACGGGGGAAAGCGGGGGACCUUCGGGCCUCGCACUAUUGGAUGAGCCUAUGUCAGAUUAGCUUGUUGGUGGGGUAACGGCCUACCAAGGCGACGAUCUGUAGCUGGUCUGAGAGGACGAUCAGCCACACUGGGACUGAGACACGGCCCAGACUCCUACGGGAGGCAGCAGUGGGGAAUAUUGCACAAUGGGCGAAAGCCUGAUGCAGCAAUGCCGCGUGUGUGAAGAAGGCCUCGGUUGUAAGACGACUUAAGUCGAGGAGGAAGGUUUUAGGUUUAAUU